CUUCGCGUUUAGCGUAGGAUGUCCAGAGUUUGGGUUCUUCGCGUUUAGCGUAGGAUGUCCAAGGUUUGGGUUGAGAGAUGGAGGACGGCAAGGCAGCCCCUAAGGAGGGACCUUGUGGUGAAGAUGGCGGCGCUAGGAUUUCAGGGUAUCGAGUUGUUGCCGUGCUUGAUUUUGUUCUCGGUUAUGGCCGCUAAUAAAACUCAUGGCUGGGUUGGCGACUCCUUUGAUCGCUACAAGGAAUACAGUCAAUAUCCCGAGUUAGAAUCUCUGCAUUUCAGUCUCUCAAUGGUGAGCUGAGCGCAUCCUAAUUCCUACAAUUCGAGCCAUAUAUGAGAAAACCAAUCAAUUAAAUCACGUUGCAAGUAAGGCCUAGCUAUUGCGUCAGGAACCAGAGGUUGGGCACAAGUAUUGAUAUCAUUUUGUGUAAUUUCUGAAAUGAGAGCUGCAUUAAGAUACACAAUGUUACAGCAAGAUGAGGUUUCCAGUGUAUGUUGGAAUGCAAUAUGUUUUGUCAGGUGCAUUUAACUUUUGGUAGUCUGGCAUGUGUUGUUCUCAUGUUCCAAUGACACAUAUUGAUAUGUAUUAUGUGUAUAUUCUUACAUCUAUAAUUCGUUUUGAUCAAAAAACAAAAAUCCGAUUAACUUUACGUUUUGGUCUAUGUUUUUCAUAUUUAUAUCAUAUCUGCUGGAUUGCUUACGGGGUUGAGGUACUUUGAUGACAACA